GUCUAUGCUGGUGAAGCUGGUCUAUCAGCAGUCUUGCUAGCGAAACUGAAAUAGACACAGACAGACAGAGAGGGCGGGACACGGGGGAACGGCGAGACGGCAGUGGUUGAUACAAAGCGGUAUGUUUUGACUGGCACUAACGGUCGAGGAGUGAAGAUCAGUUGAACGUUUCUGUGACUCCGCCCAGCGGCUGCUCUUCUGAGAGGCACCGCUCUGACAGCUCUGUCUACUGGGAAACGUGCUAAAAGUCCUUCUGGAGGUAAGCAACACUACACAAUUUCACCAAGUCUGAGAGUAAAAGCUUUCUCGAAGGCUUUGCAUUUGAACCCUUAUGACUGGUUGCGGACUUGAAGGGAACGCCUUCCUGACAUCCAGGAAAAAAUUUUAUUGGACAGUAGAGAUCUACUGGAAACAGUGGAGAGGGAGGAGAUGAUAUGCAGCAAAAGGCCGAGCCGGAUGGUUGCUGCUCCAUGUGGAACGUGUUC